UGUCAGUACCACACGGGACUGGUUUCGGGUUUUCACAUUUAUUGUUUUGUAGUUUGUUCAUGUAUAGUUUUUCUUAUUAAAAAACCAUGAACUUCAACCACGCUGCGUAUUGGUCUGCCUCUCCUUCGACGGAUGAAGCCCGUUACAGUUCUCGAGUCAACAUGGGCCAGCAUACCUGUGGAACACUGUCGACACCUUGUAGAGUCCAUGCUCCGAAGAAUUGAGGCUGUUCAGGAGAUCAUCAAAUCAUCCUGACCAGUUCACAAAGACCUCAGAGGUUCCUCCAGGCAAAGAAUGUGAGCUACUGGUCUCCAGACAGACACACAGAGAGUCACCCCAACUGACAGACAGUAUCAGUCAGUCCGGGACAGGUCUGAGAACCAGGACAGCAUCGCUCAGUCACCACGCAUCCUGUGUGUGCAGACACACACCCUACUCUGGACCAACACAGCCAGGAUCCAAACAGCCAUGAAUCUCAGAACCCACAGAGAGAACUAGAGAAGGAGGCAGCUCUGCAGCCCUCAGCCACCCCAGAGGAGACUCAGGGCCCUACACCACCCCCACCAGAUCAUAGCCAUGCUCAGAGCCCUGCACCACCCCCACCAGAUCAUAGCCAGUGCUAGAAAAGGACAGGUCUGAGAACCAGGGCAGCGGAGACACACCCUCUUAGCUGGACCAAAAUCUCCAGAGACCAAACUACCAUGACCCCCAGAGCGAACUAGAGGAAGAAGAAAUACUAGACCUGCACAAUAACAGACCUGCACAUGAAGCCCAACCAGGAGAGACACCAGGACCUGUACACAGUAGACCACAAAUACAAGAACCAGACAAAUCAACACAUGCAGGAGUCCAACCAGGAGACUCAGUCAGGGGAACCAGCCAGGGGAGUAAAGAGAGAAUAAUGAUGUGGAAGAAUAAGGGAAAGGGCAAACAGGAAGUAAUAAAGAGACAGAGAAGAGAAAGACAAGGAGAAAAUAUAUGAGAAAUGGGAACAGAAUACAGAGGGCGACAUGAACGAGAGAUGGAGGAAGGAUAGGAGUAGGAGUAGAAGGAAUCAGACACAGAGAAUGAAGGAGUUGAUACCAACCAAACAUCCACCCAGAAUGAUGAGGAGAUGGAUGAGACACAUAUGAUAAACCCCAAUGAGCAGCACAUUAC
ensembl:lncRNA